UGACGAGUGGCGCACGGGUGCGUAACGCGUAUAGAACCUACCUUGUACAGGGGAAUAGCCCAGAGAAAUUUGGAUUAAUGCCCCAUGGUAUUAUAAAAUGGCAUCGUUUUAAUAUUAAAGGCGGCGGUAAAAGAUGAGUAUACGUUCUAUUAGCUAGAUGGUGUGGUAACGGCACACCAUGGCAACGAUAGAUAGGGGCCCUGAGAGGGGGAUCCCCCACACUGGUACUGAGACACGGACCAGACUCCUACGGGAGGCAGCAGUGAGGAAUAUUGGACAAUGGAGGCAACUCUGAUCCAGCCAUGCCGCGUGCAGGAAGACUGCCCUAUGGGUUGUAAACUGCUUUUAUACGGGAAGAAACCCUCCCACGUGUGGGGGGCUGACGGUACCGUAAGAAUAAGCAUCGGCUAACUCCGUGCCAGCAGCAGCGGUAAUACGGAGGAUGCAAGCGUUAUCCGGAAUCAUUGGGUUUAAAGUGUCCGUAGGCGGACGAUUAAGUCAGGGGUGAAAGUUUGCAGCUCAACUGUAAAAUUGCCCUUGAUACUGGUUGUCUUGAAUUACUGUGAAGUGGUUAGAAUAUGUAGUGUAGCGGUGAAAUGCAUAGAUAUUACAUAGAAUACCGAUUGCGAAGGCAGAUUACUAAUAAUAUACUGACACUGAUGGACGAAAGCGUGGGUAGCGAACAGGAUUAGAUACCCUGGUAGUCCACGCCGUAAACGAUGGAUACUAGCUGUUGGACGCAAGUUCAGUGGUUAAGCGAAAGUGAUAAGUAUCCCACCUGGGGAGUACGUUCGCAAGAAUGAAACUCAAAGGAAUUGACGGGGGCCCGCACAAGCGGUGGAGCAUGUGGUUUAAUUCGAUGAUACGCGAGGAACCUUACCAGGGCUUAAAUGUAAGUUGCAUUAGUUAGAGAUAGCUAUUUCUUCGGACUACUUACAAGGUGCUGCAUGGUUGUCGUCAGCUCGUGCCGUGAGGUGUCAGGUUAAGUCCUAUAACGAGCGCAACCCCUACCGUUAGUUGCCAGCAUGUAAAGAUGGGGACUCUAGCGGGACUGCCGGUGCAAACCGUGAGGAAGGUGGGGAUGACGUCAAAUCAUCACGGCCCUUACGUCCUGGGCUACACACGUGCUACAAUGGUAGGUACAGAGGGCAGCCACUACGCGAGUAGGAGCGAAUCCUUAAAACCUAUCUCAGUUCGGAUCGGAGUCUGCAACUCGACUCCGUGAAGCUGGAAUCGCUAGUAAUCGGAUAUCAGCCAUGAUCCGG
rnacentral:rRNA from 1 species